GUAGAUGACCUUCUCCAUUGCCCUCCGGGAUGCAGUAACGGUUCCGUCAGGACGACGAAGGAAGGUCAUCUUG
rnacentral:pre_miRNA from 1 species